UACGUAGGGGGCUAGCGUUAUCCGGAAUUACUGGGCGUAAAGGGUGCGUAGGUGGUUUCUUAAGUCAGAGGUGAAAGGCUACGGCUCAACCGUAGUAAGCCUUUGAAACUGGGGAACUUGAGUGCAGAAGAGGAGAGUGGAAUUCCUAGUGUAGCGGUGAAAUGCGUAGAUAUUAGGAGGAACACCAGUUGCGAAGGCGGCUCUCUGGACUGUAACUGACACUGAGGCUCGAAAGCGUGGGGAGCAAACAGG
rnacentral:rRNA from 1 species